AGUGAACGCUGGCGGUAGGCCUAACACAUGCAAGUCGAACGGCAGCACAGCAGUAGCAAUACUGUGGGUGGCGAGUGGCGGACGGGUGAGGAAUACAUCGGAAUCUACCUUUUUCGUGGGGGAUAACGUAGGGAAACUUACGCUAAUACCGCAUACGACCUUAGGGUGAAAGCGGAGGACCUUCGGGCUUCGCGCGGAUAGAUGAGCCGAUGUCGGAUUAGCUAGUUGGCGGGGUAAAGGCCCGACCAAGGCUACGAUCCGUAGCUGGUCUGAGAGGAUGAUCAGCACACUGGAACUGAGACACGGUCCAGACUCCUACGGGAGGCAACAGUGGGGAAGUAUUGGACAAUGGGCGCAAGCCUGAUCCAGCCAUACCG
rnacentral:rRNA from 1 species